GACCGCGUACAUAGCUCAGUAGGAAGAGCAUUGGACCAGCAAACCAAAAGUCGCGGGUUCGAUUCGAACCGCGGUCA